CACGUAGGGUGCGAGCGUUGUCCGGAAUUAUUGGGCGUAAAGAGCUCGUAGGCGGUGUGUCGCGUCGGCCGUGAAAACCUGCAGCUUAACUGUGGCUUGCGGUCGAUACGGGCAUCACUGGAGUUCGGCAGGGGAGACUGGAAUUCCUGGUGUAGCGGUGAAAUGCGCAGAUAUCAGGAGGAACACCGGUGGCGAAGGCGGGGUCUCUGGGCAGUAACUGACGCUGGAGGAGC
rnacentral:rRNA from 1 species